rnacentral:rRNA from 1 species
UACAGAGGUCUCAAGCGUUAAUCGGAAUUACUGGGCUUAAAGGGUCCGCAGGCGGACCAGCAAGUACCUUGUGAAAUCUCAGGUCUCAACCCUGAGUCUGCUAGGUAGACUGCUGGUCUUGAGUGCAAAAGGGGUCGCUGGAACUCUAGGUGGAGCGGUGAAAUGCGUAGAUAUCUAGAGGAACGCCAAAGGUGAAGACAGGCGACUGGUUUGCAACUGACACUGAGACGCGAAAGCAUGGGGAGCGAACGGG